ACUAUGACAUGCAAUCCUAGCUGGGAGGAGAUACUGAAUGAGCUGCUUCCUGGCCAGACACCCCAGGACCGACCAGAUCUUGUCGCACGCGUGUUCAGGGCCAAGCUGGAGACCAUGAAAGAGAUGUUGUUCAAAAAGCACAUCCUUGGUGUUGUGGUAGCGCAUGUGUAUGUCGUCGAGUUCCAGAAGAGGGGCCUCCCCCAUGCACACUUCCUGCUGAUCAUGAAUUCAAAUUAUAAACUCGUGGUGCCAGAGCAGUAUGACCGCGUCAUAUCUGCAGAGCUCCCGGACAGGCAUAAGUAUCCAGAGCUCUAUGCCAUGGUCGUGAAGCAUAUGAUGCACGACCCAUGUGGCAAUCUUAAUCCCAAAAAU
rnacentral:rRNA from 1 species